CACACACACACACACACUGACCUGAGCAAGAGAGAGUACAGGUGACACACACACACACACUGACCUGAGCAAGAGAGAGUACAGGUGACACACACACACACACACACACACACACUGACCUGAGCAAGAGAGAGUACAGGUGACACACACACACACACACUGACCUGAG